rnacentral:rRNA from 1 species
CGGUGUUUAACUGGCGUGAUGUGGGACGUCCUACCGGUGGGCUUAGCCUCGCGAGGGGCGGCCCAACUAAUAUCCCGUCGCGGUGCUCUUUACUGAGUGUCGAGUCGGGCCGGUACGUUUACUUUGAACAAAUUAGAGUGCUUAAAGCAGGCUAUCCUCGCCUGAAUACUGCGUGCAUGGAAUAAUGGAAUAGGACCUCGGUUCUAUUUUGUUGGUUUUCGGAACCCCGAGGUAAUGAUUAAUAGGGACAGAUGGGGGCAUUCGUAUUGCGACGUUAGAGGUGAAAUUCUUGGAUCGUCGCAAGACGGACAGAAGCGAAAGCAUUUGCCAAAAAUGUUUUCAUUAAUCAAGAACGAAAGUUAGAGGUUCGAAGGCGAUCAGAUACCGCCCUAGUUCUAACCAUAAACGAUGCCAGCUAGCGAUCCGCCGAAGUUCCUCCGAUGACUCGGCGGGCAGCUUCCGGGAAACCAAAGCUUUUGGGUUCCGGGGGAAGUAUGGUUGCAAAGCUGAAACUUAAAGGAAUUGACGGAAGGGCACCACCAGGAGUGGAGCCUGCGGCUUAAUUUGACUCAACACGGGAAACCUCACCAGGCCCAGACACCGGAAGGAUUGACAGAUUGAUAGCUCUUUCUUGAUUCGGUGGGUGGUGGUGCAUGGCCGUUCUUAGUUGGUGGAGCGAUUUGUCUGGUUAAUUCCAAUAACGAACGAGACUCUAGCCUGCUAAAUAGGCGUACCUUAUGGUAUCGCGAAGGCCCCCGGCUUCGGCCGGUGGGUUUUUACUACCAACGUACAAACAAAUCUUCUUAGAGGGACAGGCGG